GCCUCGGUGGUGUAGUGGUUAGAGCACGCUUCCCGGAUAGGAUGAAAACGCCGGUUUGAUUCCCUCCUGAGGCC